AUACGGAGGAUCCGAGCGUUAUCCGGAUUUAUUGGGUUUAAAGGGUGCGUAGGUGGUUUGAUAAGUCAGCGGUGAAAGUUUGCAGCUUAACUGUAAAAAUGCCGUUGAAACUGUCGGACUUGAGUGUAAAUGAGGUAGGCGGAAUGCGUGGUGUAGCGGUGAAAUGCAUAGAUAUCACGCGGAACUCCGAUUGCGAAGGCAGCUUACUAAGCUACAACUGACACUGAAGCACGAAAGCGUGGGGAUCAAACAGGAUUAGAUACCCUGGUAGUCCACGCAGUAAACGAUGAUUACUAGCUGUUUGCGAUACACAGUAAGCGGCACAGCGAAAGCGUUAAGUAAUCCACCUGGGGAGUACGCCGGCAACGGUGAAACUUAAAGGAAUUGACGGGG
rnacentral:rRNA from 1 species